CAAAGUCUCUGUGAGAGGGGUUAUUGAACAUGAGGAUUAUACUCAGUUUUGCUGGAGUAUGAAGGAAUGUGAAAGAGGCACCAUGCAAAAGAAAUCAGAAUUUAUAUUGCACAAAUGUCUUGCUACUAUGGAUGUCAUAUUCAUCAUAACAUAUUUGAAUCUGCCAUUGCUUAUGUGAAGAUAUCCACCAAAUACCAGAUUCAAUGAUCUCACAUUCAUUAUUGAAAGAUAGAUAUCUUUGUCCCAAUAGCCAAAGCACUGUCUUAUUGCAUUGAGUUUUUUGCCUCUGCUUAAAGCUUCUGUAACCCUCUGAGUUAUCAAUACUUUGGGAAUCAGAGGUGAGGGAAUUUCCCCAGUUCCUUUCCCAACCAGUCCCCUCAGACUUUCAGGAUGUAGUUGGCCAGAACGAUAUCAAUAAACUAAUU